CUCUUNNUUCNGCGGCGGANGGGUGAGUAAUGCCUAGGAAUCUGCCUGGUAGUGGGGGACAACGUUUCGAAAGGAACGCUAAUACCGCAUACGUCCUACGGGAGAAAGCAGGGGACCUUCGGGCCUUGCGCUAUCAGAUGAGCCUAGGUCGGAUUAGCUAGUUGGUGAGGUAAUGGCUCACCAAGGCGACGAUCCGUAACUGGUCUGAGAGGAUGAUCAGUCACACUGGAACUGAGACACGGUCCAGACUCCUACGGGAGGCAGCAGUGGGGAAUAUUGGACAAUGGGCGAAAGCCUGAUCCAGCCAUGCCGCGUGUGUGAAGAAGGUCUUCGGAUUGUAAAGCACUUUAAGUUGGGAGGAAGGGCAUUAACCUAAUACGUUAGUGUUUUGACGUUACCGACAGAAUAAGCACCGGCUAACUCUGUGCCAGCAGCCGCGGUAAUACAGAGGGUGCAAGCGUUAAUCGGAAUUACUGGGCGUAAAGCGCGCGUAGGUGGUUUGUUAAGUUGGAUGUGAAAGCCCCGGGCUCAACCUGGGAACUGCAUUCAAAACUGACAAGCUAGAGUAUGGUAGAGGGUGGUGGAAUUUCCUGUGUAGCGGUGAAAUGCGUAGAUAUAGGAAGGAACACCAGUGGCGAAGGCGACCACCUGGACUGAUACUGACACUGNNUGCGAAAGCGUGGGGAGCAAACAGGAUUAGAUACCCUGGUAGUCCACGCCGUAAACGAUGUCAACUAGCCGUNNGGAGCC
rnacentral:rRNA from 1 species